UCCGGAGGGCGCAAGCGUUGUUCGGAAUUACUGGGCGUAAAGCGCGUGUAGGUGGCUUGGAAAGUCGGGUGUGAAAUCCCGGAGCUCAACUCCGGAACUGCAUCCGAUACUGCCAAGCUCGAGUCUCGGAGAGGAUGGCGGAAUUUCCGGUGUAGAGGUGAAAUUCGUAGAUAUCGGAAGGAACACCAGUGGCGAAGGCGGCCGUCUGGACGAUGACUGACACUGAGACGCGAAAGCGUGGGGAGCAAACAGG
rnacentral:rRNA from 1 species